UAUGAGGUGGUCGAAAAUUAGUCGGUAGAUUGUAAAUCUAUGUAUAAGUAUUUUUACUUUCUCAUGG
rnacentral:tRNA from 1 species